GAGGUGUAUUAACAAUUAGAGCUGCUAACUCCUAUAACUAAAGAUAAAAUCCUUAGACCUCUUAUA
rnacentral:tRNA from 1 species